rnacentral:sRNA from 1 species
GGCGGCGGAAGUGCGCAGCCGCGCGGCAUUCUGGGGCCGGAAGUGGGGUGCACGCUGCGGGUUGGUGUCAUGGCAGCUGCGGGGAGCCGCAAGAGGCGCCUGGCGGAGCUGACGGUGGACGAGUUCCUAGCUUCGGGCUUUGACUCCGAGUCCGAAUCCGAGUCCGAAAACUCUCCAGAAGCGGAGACGCGGGAAGCACGCGAGGCUGCCCGGAGUCCGGAUAAGCCGGGCGGGAGCCCCUCGGCCAGCCGGCGUAAAGGCCGUGCCUCUGAGCACAAAGACCAGCUCUCUCGGCUGAAGGACAGAGACCCCGAGUUCUACAAGUUCCUGCAGGAGAAUGACCAGAGCCUGCUAAACUUCAGCGACUCGGACAGCUCUGAGGAGGAAGAGGAGCCGUUCCACUCCCUGCCAGAUGUGCUGGAGGUGAGGGCGUGGGCCAAACCAGAAGCGGGGCACUUGUCUCUACACUCUCCUUCAGCUCAGCCUUUCUGUGCAGGAAGCCAGUGAGGAGGAGGAUGGAGCGGAGGAAGGGGAAGAUGGGGACAGAGUCCCCAGAGGGCUGAAGGGGAAGAAGAAUUCUGUUCCUGUGACUGUCGCCAUGGUUGAGAGAUGGAAGCAGGCAGCAAAGCAACGCCUCACUCCAAAGCUGUUCCAUGAAGUGGUACAGGCGUUCCGAGCAGCUGUGGCCACCACCCGAGGGGACCAGGAAAGUGCUGAGGCCAACAAAUUCCAGGUCACGGACAGUGCUGUGUUCAAUGCUCUGGUUACCUUCUGCAUCAGAGACCUCAUUGGCUGUCUCCAGAAGCUGCUGUUUGGAAAGGUGGCAAAGGAUAGCAGCAGCAAAUGUGGGCCAAAGGAAACCAGUCUGCGGCAGUUGGUGGUGCCUGGCCGACCCCAGAGGUGCCGAGUACCAGCUGCUGGGCUUAGGGACCUCGUGU